rnacentral:rRNA from 1 species
UACGAAGGGGGCUAGCGUUGCUCGGAAUCACUGGGCGUAAAGCGCACGUAGGCGGAUUGCUAAGUCAGGGGUGAAAUCCUGGAGCUCAACUCCAGAACUGCCUUUGAUACUGGCGACCUUGAGUCCGGGAGAGGUGAGUGGAACUGCGAGUGUAGAGGUGAAAUUCGUAGAUAUUCGCAAGAACACCAGUGGCGAAGGCGGCCCACUGGCCCGGUACUGACGCUGAGGUGCGAAAGCGUGGGGGAGCAAACAGG